rnacentral:rRNA from 1 species
AGAGUUUGAUCAUGGCUCAGAACGAACGCUGGCGGCACGCCUAACACAUGCAAGUCGAGCGCACCUUCGGGUGAGCGGCGGACGGGUUAGUAACGCGUGGGAACAUACCCUUUACUACGGAAUAGCCUUUGGAAACGAAGAGUAAUACCGUAUACGCCCUUCGGGGGAAAGAUUUAUCGGUGAAGGAUUGGCCCGCGUUAGAUUAGAUAGUUGGUGGGGUAACGGCCUACCAAGUCGACGAUCUAUAGCUGGUUUGAGAGGAUGAUCAGCAACACUGGGACUGAGACACGGCCCAGACUCCUACGGGAGGCAGCAGUGGGGAAUCUUAGACAAUGGGCGCAAGCCUGAUCUAGCGAUGCCGCGUGAGUGACGAAGGCCUUAGGGUCGUAAAGCUCUUUCGCCAGGGAAGAUAAUGACUGUACCUGGUAAAGAAACCCCGGCUAACUCCGUGCCAGCAGCCGCGGUAAUACGGAGGGGGUUAGCGUUGUUCGGAAUUACUGGGCGUAAAGCGCACGUAGGCGGAUUAGUAAGUUAGAGGUGAAAUCCCAGGGCUCAACCCUGGAACUGCCUUUAAUACUGCUAGUCUUGAGUUCGAGAGAGGUGAGUGGAAUUCCGAGUGUAGAGGUGAAAUUCGUAGAUAUUCGGAGGAACACCAGUGGCGAAGGCGGCUCACUGGCUCGAUACUGACGCUGAGGUGCGAAAGC